CUCCUGGUGACUGAGGCCCUUUGCACUUGGCCCUCAUCUCUGGGAUGUACACAGCUGUCAUCCUAGGCCCCAGCUCUACACGCAAGCUCUUUCUGCCAUACAGGGGUCCUGAAGAUAGAGACCAGCGGCUGUGCCGACUCACUCCCUGGCUCUGCCGGGUGCUGCACACUGUCUUCAUUAACGUUGUCUGUGUGUUUUUUUUCUUUUGUUUUCCUCUUCCUUCAGGUACAGAGUGAAGACAGUGUCCUCCUGUUUGUUAUUGCAUGGACGAUCACGGAAAUCAUCCGUUACUCCUUUUAUACAUUCAGUCUAUUAAACCAUCUGCCUUACCUCAUCAAAUGGGCCAGGUACACACUUUUCAUUGUGCUGUACCCAAUGGGAGUGUCAGGAGAACUGCUCACAAUAUAUGCAGCUCUGCCCUUUGUCAGACAAGCUGGCCUAUAUUCCAUCAGUUUACCCAACAAAUACAAUUUCUCUUUUGACUACUAUGCAUUCCUGAUUCUAAUAAUGAUCUCCUACAUUCCAAACAGGGUUGGACUUCUCCUCAUUGCAUGGCAUCAUCGGAAUGAAUCAC
rnacentral:lncRNA from 1 species